rnacentral:lncRNA from 1 species
ACAUGAUGAAUUAUUCUAUGCUCUUGUUGAAUGUAUGUAGUGUGUGUGUGUGUGUGUGUGUGUGUGUGUGUGUGUAGAGUGAGGCUGCUAUACUAUCGGAAGUACGGAGUCUUUCGUGCUUUCAGCUCGUUUUCGAUGUUGCGACUUUCGAAUCGUCGAUCGGCUCCGUUAAACUUGAUCUAGAGUAUUUGGAGUACCUAGAAAAUAAAUUUUAUUAUUUUUUGAUAUCAUUUGCCUAGUGAUCGAAUGAGCUCAAAAUCAACAAAUUUCAAUGGCCGUAGUGAGCCGUUUGCAAGUUUAACAGUGUAGAAAUAUCCAAAUCACGUGAAAUUUUGAUAGAAAAUUCUUUAUACUAUAUAAAACA